GUCAGAGUCCGUUCCGUGUCCAGGGAGUAUAGAGUUCAGAAAAGUUGGUUUGGAAGAUCAAAGGUUCGGUACACAGGUAGAUAUCACAGGGAGAUCGGAUGGCACUUAGAAACAAUUUGCUACAAAUUGACUGAGCAAUUUCAGAGCAGCCGCGGCUUCCCUUUAACGUGGCAGCGUCUGACUUCAGACUCAUGGGCGGGGUCCGAUUGGCGAAACCCAUAAGUGACUCCAAAGGAGUUCGCCGAUUGGUAAUGAUGAUAAUCUCUGAUCCGAGCACUGAUGUUGGCAAAAUAGCG